AUACGGAAGGUCCGGGCGUUAUCCGGAUUUAUUGGGUUUAAAGGGAGCGCAGGCGGGUUGUUAAGCGUGACGUGAAAUGUAGCCGCUCAACGGCUGAAAUGCGUCGCGAACUGGCAGUAUUGAGUGAGUACGACGUCAGCGGAAUUCGUGGUGUAGCGGUGAAAUGCUUAGAUAUCACGAAGAACCCCGAUUGCGAAGGCAGCUGACGAGUCCUUUACUGACGCUAAAGCUCGAAGGUGCGGGUAUCGAACAGGAUUAGAUACCCUGGUAGUCCGCACGGUAAACGAUGGAUGCCCGCUGUAUGCGAUACAAUGUAUGCGGCCAAGCGAAAGCGUUAAGCAUCCCACCUGGGGAGUACGCCGGCAACGGUGAAACUCAAAUGAAUUGACGGGG
rnacentral:rRNA from 1 species